UCUACGGGCGGCAGCAGUGGGGAAUAUUGGGCAAUGGGCGCAAGCCUGACCCAGCAACGCCGCGUGAAGGAAGAAGGCUCUCGGGUUGUAAACUUCUUUUAUCAGGGACGAAGCAAGUGACGGUACCUGAUGAAUAAGCCACGGCUAACUACGUGCCAGCCGCCGCGGUAAUACGUAGGUGGCAAGCGUUAUCCGGAUUUACUGGGUGUAAAGGGCGUGUAGGCGGGAAAGCAAGUCAGAUGUGAAAACCAUGGGCUGAACCUGUGGCCUGCAUUUGAAACUGUUUGUCUUGAGUACUGGAGAGGCAGACGGAAUUCCUAGUGUAGCGGUGAAAUGCGUAGAUAUUAGGAGGAACACCAGUGGCGAAGGCGGUCUGCUGGACAGCAACUGACGCUGAGGCGCGAAAGCGUGGGGAGCAAACAGGAUUAGAUACCCCAGUAGUC
rnacentral:rRNA from 1 species